rnacentral:rRNA from 1 species
CCUACGGGAGGCAGCAGUGGGGAAUCUUGCGCAAUGGGCGAAAGCCUGACGCAGCCAUGCCGCGUGUAUGAUGAAGGUCUUAGGAUUGUAAAAUACUUUCACCGGUGAAGAUAAUGACUGUAGCCGGAGAAGAAGCCCCGGCUAACUUCGUGCCAGCAGCCGCGGUAAUACGAAGGGGGCUAGCGUUGCUCGGAAUUACUGGGCGUAAAGGGAGCGUAGGCGGACAUUUAAGUCAGAGGUGAAAUCCCGGAGCUUAACUUCGGAACUGCCUUUGAUACUGGGUGUCUUGAGUGUGAGAGAGGUAUGUGGAACUCCGAGUGUAGAGGUGAAAUUCGUAGAUAUUCGGAAGAACACCAGUGGCGAAGGCGACAUACUGGCUCAUUACUGACGCUGAGGCUCGAAAGCGUGGGGAGCAAACAGGAUUAGAUACCCUGGUAGUCCACGCCGUAAACGAUGAUUGCUAGUUGUCGGGAAGCUUGCUUCUCGGUGACGCNGCUACGCAUAGACAUCCGCCGUGGGAGGUACGGUCGCGAGAUAAACUUAACUAGAGUAGAGCGNGAGAGUGCGACGACGACGACGAGGGAGUAGG